rnacentral:lncRNA from 1 species
ACAACCCCCACAUCUCCUCCCCUCAGAUAAACAUGUAACACAAUUAAAACAUACACAAUUUUACUCAAGUUCUGGAUGUACCCCAAAAACAGAGGGUACUGCUUGAUAGCUCUCAUUCAGGGGAACAACAUAUCCAAAUUCCAGCUCAUUCAGUUGAGGGGUUCGGGAGUUAUGGGUCUUUGAAGUUUUGACUGACCGCACAGAUUCUCUAGCCGAAAAGAGUUCCAUAAGUUUUGGCCUUGCGGUCGGUCUCCGUUCGUGCAUUAAAACCCCACGAACCCCUUGUCAUCCACAGUCACACUGGUGUUCGCUGAAAUCCCUAUGUGAGCUUAAGCAUAACUACCGAACGGCCGGUCGUUCGGUAGUUCCAGCACGAAGUUAUGGGCUCAUGGAGGUCUCAGCGGUGUUCGCCUGUUUGCGUGUCCGUUUUUAGUUCCAUGCGUUCACGGGCAAACACCGCUGUUCGUGCGUAAGAUGGCCGCGAACACGUGUAAAGUCCCGAAAUGGCGGCCAUCUAUUCUGAGCACAAAGGAUUCGUGUGAAACCAUGUAAACGGCUCCAAAAGCACUGGGAGGUAAAAUACCACUUAACUGUGCCCCUGGGUGGUCCGAUGUUUGGUAGUUUGAGCUGCAUUCGCUGUAAUGGUAUUUCCCAUGAAAUAGUUAUUCGGUUUUUAGUAAAUCCAACUGUAUUGAUAAAUAAGUCCAGGCACAAGCAUAGUUCUGUUACACUUGGUAUUACCAGUGAUAUCUAACCUGGCAUUACUGGCAUUACCAGUGAUCUCUAACCUGGCAUUACCAGUGAUCCCUAACUUGGUAUUACCAGUGAUCUCUAACCUGAUAUUACCGGUGAUCUCUAACCUGGCAUUACCAGUGAUCUCUAACCUGGUAUUACCAGUGAUCUCUGACCUGGCAUUACCAGUGAUCACUAACUUGGCAUUACCAGUGAUCUCUAACCUGGCAUUACCAGUGAUCUCUAACCUGACAUUACCACUGAUCUCUAACCUGGUAUUACCAGUGAUCUCUAACCUGGCAUUACCAGUGAUCUCUAACCUGGCAUUACCAGUGAUCUCUAACCUGGCAUUACCAGUGAUCUCUAACUUGGCAUUACCAGUGAUCUCUAACCUGGCAUUACCACUGAUCUCUAACCUGGCAUUACCAGUGAUCUCUAACUUGGCUUUACCAGUGAUCUCUAACCUGGUAUUACCAGUGAUCUCUAAUCUGGCAUUACCAGUGAUCUCUAACUUGGCAUUACCAGUGAUCUCUAACCUGGCAUUACCACUGAUCUCUAACCUGGCAUUACCAGUGAUCUCUAACUUGGCUUUACCAGUGAUCUCUAACCUGGUAUUACCAGUGAUCUCUAACCUGGCAUUACCAGUGAUCUCUAACCUGGCAUUACCAGUGAUCUCUAACCUGGCAUUACCAGUGAUCUCUAACUUGGCAUUACCAGUGAUCUCUAACCUGGUAUUACCACUGAUCUCUAACCUGGUAUUUCCAGUGAUCUCUAAUCUGGCAUUACCAGUGAUCUCUAACCUGGCAUUACCACUGAUCUCUAACCUGGUAUUACCAGUGAUCUCUAACCUGGCAUUACCAGUGAUCUCUUACCAGUGAUCUCUAACCUGGUAUUACCAGUGAUCUCUAACCUGGCAUUACCAGUGAUCUCUAACUUGGUGUAACGGCUACCCAGCUGGGAAGGGGUAUCAGCCGUUGGAACGUCCUUUUCUAGGCAAGCUGCUGUGAAGUAAUGGAGUUCUUAUUCCCAUCCACGAUAUCCAGGAGUACAAUCAGGCAUCGCUGUAAAAUGAGGCAGAGUAACUGUACAAUAAAUCCCCUCCAAGAACGAGACGUGGCUACGUUUUGAAGGGUCAAGUAGAACUGACGUUUAUUGACAGGGGUCUCCUUUUAUACAAUGGUGCCCUGAAAAAGGCUACACCCACAUAAUUAUCACAAUAACCAAUCAUACACAUGGUACAACCCCCACAUCUCCUCCCCUCAGAUAAACAUGUAACACAAUUAAAACAUACACAAUUUUACUCAAGUUCUGGAUGUACCCCAAAAACAGAGGGUACUGCUUGAUAGCUCUCAUUCAGGGGAACAACAUAUCCAAAUUCCAGCUCAUUCAGUUGAGGGGUUCGGGAGUUAUGGGUCUUUGAAGUUUUGACUGACCGCACAGAUUCUCUAGCCGAAAAGAGUUCCAUAAGUUUUGGCCUUGCGGUCGGUCUCCGUUCGUGCAUUAAAACCCCACGAACCCCUUGUCAUCCACAGUCACACUGGUGUUCGCUGAAAUCCCUAUGUGAGCUUAAGCAUAACUACCGAACGGCCGGUCGUUCGGUAGUUCCAGCACGAAGUUAUGGGCUCAUGGAGGUCUCAGCGGUGUUCGCCUGUUUGCGUGUCCGUUUUUAGUUCCAUGCGUUCACGGGCAAACACCGCUGUUCGUGCGUAAGAUGGCCGCAAACACGUGUAAAGUCCCGAAAUGGCGGCCAUCUAUUCUGAGCACAAAGGAUUCGUGUGAAACCAUGUAAAUGGCUCCAAAAGCACUGGGAGGUAAAAUACCACUUAACUGUGCCCCUGGGUGGUCCGAUGUUCGGUAGUUUGAGCUGCAUUCGCUGUAAUGGUAUUUCCCAUGAAAUAGUUAUUCGGUUUUUAGUAAAUCCAACUGUAUUGAUAAAUAAGUCCAGGCACAAGCAUAGUUCUGUUACACUUGGUAUUACCAGUGAUAUCUAACCUGGCAUUACUGGCAUUACCAGUGAUCUCUAACCUGGCAUUACCAGUG